AUUGAACGCUGGCGGCAUGCCUAACACAUGCAAGUCGAACGAGUGGCGGACGGGUGAGUAAUGUCUGGGAAACUGCCCGAUGGAGGGGGAUAACUACUGGAAACGGUGGCUAAUACCGCAUACCAUCGGAUGUGCCCAGAUGGGAUUAGCUAGUAGGUGGGGUAACGGCUCACCAAGGCGACGAUCCCUAGCUGGUCUGAGAGGAUGAACAGCCACAAUGGAACUGAGACACGGUCCAGACUCCUACGGGAGGCAGCAGUGGGGAAUAUUGGACAAUGGGCGAAAGCCUGAUGCAGCCAUGCCGCGUGUAUGAAGAAGGCCUUCGGGUUGUAAAGUACUUUCAGCGAGGAGGCGGUACUCGCAGAAGAAGCACCGGCUAACUCCGUGCCAGCAGCCGCGGUAAUAC
rnacentral:rRNA from 1 species